GUGACCUUGUGGUUAAGGCACUGGACUUUAACUCUGGUGACCUGGGUUCCAUUCCCAGC
rfam:Chelonia mydas contig238672, whole genome shotgun sequence.